rnacentral:lncRNA from 1 species
UGCAUAAUUCAGCAGAAACUAGAGGAGCAGGGCGUGUACUGAUUGGAAUUGACACGCUUAUUCUGUCUACCUAUCAGCUAACUCAUUAGCAGCCAAGCCCUUAGGCAGCUUAGUGUGAAAAUACAAUGUUAACUGUUUGUUUCUCUGUGAGGUUAGUGGGAACCGCUUGGAUAAGCCUAUUGGGAUUAAUCUAAAUGAUGUGAUGAUCUGGAGCAAAGAAAGGCCUGCUUUGUGGACUAUCUACAAGGAAUCACAGCAUACAUGCAUUGAAUGUACUCAAACUUCAGCUCCAUGCAUUUAUCACCAAAAUAUAGAACAAAGCAAAAAACUGUUUAAACACUAUACAUGGGUGCCAUGGCUCAUGCUUUAAUCCCAGAGCUUUGAGGGGCCAAGGCAGGAGGAUCACUUGAGGCCAGGAAUUGGAGACCAGCCUGGCCAACAUAGCAGGACCCUGUCUUUAAAAAUAAAAAUAAAAAUAAAUAAAUUAUCUAGAUGUGGUGGCACGUGCCUGUAAUCCCAGCUACCUGAGACUCUGUCUCAAAUAAAUCAAUAAAUAAAUACCACAGGGACAAUUCCACCUGUCAUCCCAUUGAAAGAAAAAGGAGCCGAAGAAUGGGGAUGUGAUUCAAAUGUGCCUUCAUCCCUUCCAUCACCUACAAAAAAAAAAAAAUAAAUGUUUGUUGAAUGAAUGAAUGGUAGCCAAGAUGUGGUAUUCAUUAUAUAUCACUGUGCAAAAAAUUAUUCCAAAAUUUAGAGGCUUAAAAUGAUAACAAACAGUUAAGAUCUCACAGAGUUUCUGUCAGGAAACUGGGAACAGCUUAGCUACAUAGUUCUAACUCAGGGUCUCUCAGGUUAUAUACAGUUAAGCUAUCAGCCAGAGCUGCAGUCACUUGAAGCCUUGAUUGGGGCUAGCGGAUUCACUUUUCAACGUGGCUCAUUCACAUAGCUGUUAGCCGCACGAAAUUCUCCACAGAACUGCCUGAGUGUAGUCACAACGUGGCAGCUGUGUUCCCUUUAGGGACUGAUACAAGAGUGAACAAGGUAGAAGCUGCAAUGUCUUUGAUGCCCUAGCCUCAGAGGCCACCCUUCCACAAUAUCCCAUUUCUUACAUAGGUUAGCCCUAUCCAAUGUGAGCAGGAACUACACAAGGUAUGAAUAUACCAGGAAGGGAAACUGUUGGGAGACAUCUUGGAGACCAGCUACACAGAUGGCUAAUUCUUGCAAAUUCUCAGAAUUAUUUGAGUGGUUGUAGAAUUCCUAGAAGGUAAAUGACAGUGGAGCCAGAGAAAUGCUGUUCAUGGCUAUUAUGUUUCCCUAGUAUUACAACCCCCACCCCCUACUACUGUUGCCUGGGAUUAGUGUUUUCUAUAGAAUGUCUUCACUUGU